AUGGCCGCUCCAUCUAUGUCUGCCCACAUUCCCAUCUUUGUGAUAGUCCUACUCUCGGCCGUCUCCUGUUCUUAUCCCAGCCUGACCAACCGCAACGGUAGUGAAACUGAUCUCGCCGCGCUUCUGGCUUUGAAAGCGCAGCUCGCCGACCCUCUCCGCAUCCUUGCCGACAACUGGACAACCGGCACAUCUUUCUGCCACUGGGUCGGUGUCUCAUGCAGCCUGCGCCGACAACGUGUCACUGCUCUAUCAUUGGUGGAUACGCGUCUCGUUGGCUCUCUGGCACCUCACAUCGGUAACCUCUCUUUCCUUUCCAUCCUUAACCUCACCCGCAACAAUCUGAUGGGCUCCAUUCCAGUGGAACUUGGUAGGUUACAUCGUCUUAGGUAUCUCGAUCUCAUGAGAAAUAGGUUUUCUGACGCCAUACCUACUACCCUUGGGAACCUCACAAGGCUUGUGCGCCUUCGUCUAGGUUACAAUGAACUCUCGGGCCAGAUCCGUCCUGGGAUGUUAAUCCGUAUGCACAACCUUAAAGAAAUUGUCCUGCACCAAAAUGAAUUAGGUGGCCAAAUACCGUUGUAUUUGUUCAACAAUACACCUUCUUUGGCAGUCAUCCAUCUUGGAAAUAACAGCCUGUCGGGUCCAAUACCAACUGCUCUUGCAUCCCUAUCCAUGCUUGAGGUCUUCAGUGUACAGCAUAAUCAACUCUCCGGUCUACUCCCACAAGCCAUGUUCAACAUGUCUAAGCUUCGAGUAAUGGCAUUCGAAGACUGCGGUAACCUAACUGGAAUGAUUCCGACCAAUCAAAGUUUUAGCCUCCCAAUGUUGCAAUUUUUUACACUAGCUGGGAACAAAUUUGCAGGGCGGUUUCCAAUAGGGUUUGCAUCAUGUCAAUACCUGCAAGCACUUGAUUUGAGUCGUAACUCUUUUGUGGAUGUUGUGCCAACAUGGUUAGCCAAAUUGUCACAACUAAAAAAGCUUUUAUUGGGUUCUAAUAACCUUACCGGAUUCAUCCCAGUUGCUCUUAGCAAUCUCACUAGUCUUAGUAUGCUAGCACUCGACAACGGUAAUCUCAAAGGGGAGAUUCCACAUGAAUUAGGUCUUAUACAUGAACUCUGGUAUCUUAAUCUUGGCCAGAAUCAAUUGACAGGUAAAAUUCCUGAUUCCCUUGGCAACUUAUCAAAAUUAUCAACCCUAGGUUUGUAUCGUAAUCAAUUGUCUGGCCAAGUACCAACAACAUUUGAAAAAAUCGUACAUUUAAACAAGCUUGUGUUGAACCACAAUAAUUUAACGGGAAAUCUAGACUUCUUGUCAGCUCUUUCCAAGUGUAGACAACUCCAAAUCCUUGAUAUGUCGUCUAAUUCUUUCACAGGUAUCCUCCCUGGCUAUGUGGGAAACAUUAGUACACAAUUAAGCAUGUUCAUUGCACAUAGUAACAAGUUAACAGGUGGACUUCCGUUAGCGAUUUCAAACCUAAGCAACAUUUAUCUGAUAGAUAUUAGCAACAACCUAUUCGUCGAGCCAUCCCAGAAUCCAUCAUUAUGUUGGAAAAUCUUGUACAUCUUGAUCUCUCCCACAAUGAUAUGGCAGGCACUAUCCCAACACAAAUGGGUAUGCUCAUGA
rnacentral:rRNA from 1 species